rnacentral:lncRNA from 1 species
AUGCAGGUUCUCUCCAGCUUCAAGAACAUCUGCCAGGACUCGCGGCUAUGGCAUUUUUGUCAGCUGGGUGUGGCACAAAUGGGAUGUGACCUUGCCAGAGUGGUGGACCCAGGACCUGCAGAGAAGAGUGGUGCUGAGGAUUGGCAGUGCCCACUCCUAUGCCAUUCUGCUCGGCGGGACUGCAGCGGUCUGUGCUUCUGUUCACGACACUCACCACCUGCAUUGAUGACAUCACCAUCACCAUCACCACCAGCGUGGAGCAAGACAGUGGCGAGAGCUUCCAGUUCCCAUCCACCUACAAAGCUCAAAUCCAGACUGUCUGAGCGGGCACCGGCUCCCAAAAUCACCUGUGUGGUUGACCUCAUUUGGAGAAGAGGGGUCUUCUUGCCUAUGGUCACACAGCUCAGGGUGGCAAUCCUGUCCCUUUCCCAUGGAGCUACCCUCACUCCAGCUCCCCUUGGUACACAUUGUGCUCAAGGAACAGGCAGCUUACCAGGUACUCCCUGUGGCCCAAGGCCCCUCCCUGUGGCCCCAGGCUCCCACCAAAUCCCUGAGCAAAUAGUGCAGUGUUGCCAGUCUGUGGUUUCAUGUUGAACUAAUUAAAUACUCAAGUGCUGUUUAACUGUGUGCCUCUCUCCAUCCUUUAAUGACCCCUGAUGCCCACAUGUCUCAUGAGUGAAGAUGUCCCCACCCCAGAUGCCCCUUCCCAAGGUGUGCUUUCAGGACUCAGCUCCUAGACAGGGACAGUCAGCCAUUAGGGAUAGGGUGGGACCAGGGCAGGGGCUCUCCUGACUCCUGAUACCUGUUCGCCUGCCCCCCAGCGUUACUGCCACCUGCUAUAGGUGACUGAGAAGUGGGCCUAGGGCACCUUCAGACUCAACCCCAAUGAUGAGGACAUCCACACAGCCAGCGAGCACCACCUGAAGGUAAGAUCCCUGCAGCCCCACUGCUUUCCUGGCCUCCCGUCUUCACCUGGCCCUGGGCCACUUGGAGCAUUAGCACCAUUGUUCCAUUUACUUCACCAUUGGCAGACAGCAGUGACGAUCUCAGGACAUGGCCAGUUGCAGUGGCUCAUGCCUAUAAUCCUAGCACUUUGGGAGGCUCUGGUGGAAGGAUCACUUGAGGCCAAGAGUUUGCAUGGGCAACAUAACAAGGUUUCAUAACUACAAAAAAUUGAAAGAAAAAAAUGAACAACAGGGCUAAGCAGAAUUGGUGAGAGAUUUGGGCAAGACCUGGGGCCCUUGGGUAGGGAGGGAGGUUGGCAGGGCUGAUGAAAGCUGCCCUGCCUGGAUUGACUCCUCUGGGCAUCUAGACUGUGACCCUGGGCCUCCCUUCACUUCCAAGAGCUCAUUAGCAAAACUGCUGGGAAGCUGCACACGGGAUGCAGCUGGAAUGACCAGGUGCCUCUAGCCCCUCCAACCCCCUGCUUUUUGCUGUCCCAAUGUUGGGGAGCCCAGGGGGCAGUUAGAGCUCAGCAGGGUCCUGGCUCCCCAGGGAAGCAGCUCAUCAGCCUCCCUGAGCAUCACCUCCUGCUUGCACAGGUGGUCAUGGAGCUUAGACUAUGGAUGUGGCAGACCUGCUCGAUGCUCUCCGGCCUCUUGUGGGAGCCCAUCAGGACCAUGGUGGAUCCCACAGAGGUGUGAGUCCCAAGGCACACCCAGGGGUUAGAGAGAGGUGUGAUGGCAUCCUGAACAGCAGACUAGGUGGCAGGGACAAACAGGGUGGAGAUGCCAGGCCCUGGGGGACGGGUAUUACAGAACGCCGAGAUUGAGGCAGAACAGCCAGGAGUGGGGCAUUUCCUGCAGUCCCCAAUACUCCCAUGGCAGUCUAGCUCAGCAGGCAGGGAAGAGUCACCCUUUGUGGGGCCUGGUGUGGUGGCUCAUGACUGUAAUUCCAGCACUUUGGGAGGCAGAGGCUGGUGGAUCACCUGAGGUCAGGAGUUCACGACCAGCCUGGCUAACAUGGUGAAACCCUGUCUCUAAUAAAAAUACAAAAAUUAGCCAGACGUGGUGGUGUGCACCUGUAAUCACAGCUACUUGGGAGGCUGAGGCAGGAGAAUCCCUUGAACCCAAAAGGCGGAGAUUGCAGUGAGCUGUGAUUGCAUCACUGCACUUCGGCCUAGGAGACAGAGUGAGACUCCACCUCAAAAACUAAAAAAUAAAAAGGAAGAGAACUCAUCCUUUGCAGAUUUGAGGGAAGGAAACUAAGGCACUAGCUUGGCUGUGCCUGGAGCAGCAAGAGUCUCUCCCCACUCUGCCUGUGUCCCACGUCUCCCGCAUUAUGUGUCCCCACCCAGCCCAUCUGGUGAAAGGCAGAGGCAAAGGCUGCCUCCUGCUGGCCUCAUCCCAGGCUUUGGCUUCUGGGACCUGGUGUCUUUGGGUCUGGAUUUGUUCCUUGUAGACCUGGAGGAGGAGCUGCUGGGGAGUCUCCACGUGUUGUCAGAGACCCCUCCUCUUGGUCAGCUCCCUGUGACCCCUGUUUCUCAGACUGGGAGGGAAAUAAGGGCACACAAUUGUGACCAUGGAGGUGGCGCAAGGCUGCUAGGAGGAACGGAGUGUCUGCUACAGAACUCAGGGUUUCUUUCAUUUACUUUUUUUUUUUUGAGACAGGGUCUUGCUCUGUCACCUAGUCUGGAGUGCAGUGGUGGGAUCUCUCCUACCUGCAAACUUUGCCUCCCUGGAUCAAGUGAUUCUCCUACCUCAGCCUCCCAAGUAGCUGGGAUUACAGGUAUGUGCACCACAUGCAGCUAAUUUUUGUAUUUUUUUCAGUAGAGAUGGAUUUUACCAUGUUGGCCAGGCUGAUCUCUUGAACUCCUGAGCUCAGGUGAUCUGCCCACCUCAGCCUGCCAGAGUGCUGGGAUUAUAGGCAUAAGCCACUGCAUCCAGCCUAAUUUUAAAAUUUUUAACUUUUUUUUUUUUGAGAUAGAGUUUUGCUCUUGUCACCCAGGCUGAAGUGCAAUGGCACUCGGCUCAGUGCAACCUCUGCCUCCCAGAUUCAAGCAAUUCUCCUGCCUCAGUCUCCACAGUAGCUGGAACUACAGGUAUGUGCCACACCCAGCUAAUUUUUGUAUUUUUUAGUAGAGACAGGGUAUUACCAUGUGGCCAGGAUGUUCUCAAUCUCCUGAUCUUGUGGUCCAUCCACGUUGACCUCCCAAAGUGCUGGCAUUACAGGCGUGAGCAACCACACCCGGCCAAAUUUUCUCUGUUUGUCUUUAGAGAUGAGCUCUUGCUCUGUCACCUAGGCUGGAGUGCAGUGGCUCAGUAAUAGUUCACUGCAGCCUUAAACUCCUGGACUCAAAUGAUCUUCCCACCUCAGCUUUCUGAGUAGGUAAGACCACAGGUGUGCACCACACCCUGCAAAGUUUCUACAUUUUUUUUGUAGUAACGGGUUUUCACUAUGUGGUGCGGUCUGGUUGAAGUCCCAGCCUCAAGUGAUCCUACCAUCUUGGCCUCCCAAAGUGCUGGAAUUACAGGCUUGAGCCACCGUACCUGGCCUUGAGUACAGAAUUUCCUUAGGGGGUGACGAAAAUGCUCUAAAAUCGGUGAUGGAUGUGCACUAAAGUGUGAGUGAUAUCUCAGCAAAGUUGGUUUAUU